UCAUGGUCAUGGGUAUGCGAUUUCUCGGUCCAGCAACGACAAGAUGCUGGAAGAUUAUAGUCGGCCGUCAUUCUCAUGGGGUGAUGGAAAGUAUGGCAGGAGCAGUAGGGAAAAUAGAGGAGGGCCCUUUGGUUAGAGAGAUUGGCGAGGGCAUUCAUGGGAACCCAUCAAAACCUUAUUCACUUCUUCCCAAUUCAGAGACGCCAAAUGGUCCUUCCCUUCUGCCCCUGUCACUUGCAACUGUCCAUACCACUUGAAAUUUUAUGAUCAACACUCAAAUCUCAACCACCAAAUAUUGUAAUUGAGGUGUUUGGGAGAUCAUAGCGUAGAUGGUUCUGUAAUGCCUUCAUGGUUUGACAUUCUUGAGAUUCCCGUGGCAGCUGUCUACACUUUGUAGCAGGUUCUAUACUUGCUCAUUGUCAAUGUAUUAUGAAGACAAAGCCUUUUAAGAGAUCCCAAAGUCAUGACUUCCUACAGGUGCUUCCUUUGGUUCAAUUUGCAGUGGUCAUGCUUGUGUUUUACUCUUUAGUCCCUGUUCUACUUAAGGUGUGGAUAGCAAUGUAAAUUCUUGCAAAAUUUGAGACUUUAAUUAAUUAUGUAAAUUUUUGUAUUAUGUAAUAUAAUGAUUUUUCAAUUGAAAAUAAUGAGUAUACUUUUGUUUCAAAUCAA